AAGACUAUACUUUCAGGAAUCAUUGCUAUAGUUCGUUACUAGAGAAGUUUUUCUGAUCAUGUAGCACAACCGAAACCGCGAAAAGAAGCCGAACCAUCCGCUUCUGAGCGGGAAGGCGGUUCUAGGUGUCGCUUUUGCAACUGUCUUUUACCAUUGAUGAUUCUUCUCUUUCCUAGAAGAGAGAGAGGGAGAGGAUACAGUCUGAGUGGC